rnacentral:sRNA from 1 species
GUUCAUCGAUUUCAAGUUCUUGUUGCCCUGAUGCUUUCCAGUCAAACCAGAGAUGAAGUCAAUGCGGCGGCGAUGAAAGUUCGAAAAAUAUAAAUUUUGAUUUCAAGCAUUUUUUAUAUUUACAGAGACUCAAGGAUCAUGGCUUGUCAAUCGGGAAAAUUCUCGAAUUCAAAGUACCAGACUUGGAGACGAUUUUGUGUCCUGUUGGAUUUUAUAAAG